GCUUGUCUCAAAGAUUAAGCCAUGCAUGUCUCAGUACAAGCCAAAUUAAGGUGAAACCGCGAAAGGCUCAUUAAAUCAGUUAUGGUUCCUUAGAUCGUACCCACAAUUACUUGGAUAACUGUGGUAAUUCUAGAGCUAAUACAUGCAAACAGAGCUCCGACCGGAGACGGAAGGAGUGCUUUUAUUAGAUCAAAACCAAUCGGUGGCGGGUUCGCUCGUCAUCGUACAACUUGGUGACUCUGAAUAACUUUACGCUGAUCGCACGGUCAUCGCACCGGCGACGCAUCUUUCAAAUGUCUGCCUUAUCAACUGUCGAUGGUAGGUUCUGCGCCUACCAUGGUUGUAACGGGUAACGGGGAAUCAGGGUUCGAUUCCGGAGAGGGAGCCUGAGAAACGGCUACCACAUCCAAGGAAGGCAGCAGGCGCGCAAAUUACCCACUCCCGGCACGGGGAGGUAGUGACGAAAAAUAA
rnacentral:rRNA from 1 species